UACGGGGGGAGCAAGCGUUGUUCGGAUUUACUGGGCGUAAAGGGCGCGUAGGCGGCCACCGCAAGUCAGUUGUGAAAUCUCUGGGCUUAACCCAGAAAGGUCAACUGAUACUGCGGGGCUAGAGUGCAGAAGGGGCAACUGGAAUUCUCGGUGUAGCGGUGAAAUGCGUAGAUAUCGAGAGGAACACCUGCGGCGAAGGCGGGUUGCUGGGCUGACACUGACGCUGAGGAGCGAAAGCGUGGGGAGCGAACAGG
rnacentral:rRNA from 1 species